rnacentral:rRNA from 1 species
AACGAACGCUGGCGGCAUGCCUAACACAUGCAAGUCGAACGAAACCUUCGGGUCUAGUGGCGCACGGUUGCGUAACGCGUGGGAACCUGCCCUUAGGUUCGGAAUAACUCCCCGAAAGGGGUGCUAAUACCGGAUAAUGUCUUCGGCCCAAAGAUUUAUCGCCUUUGGAUGGGCCCGCGUUGGAUUAGCUAGUUGGUAGGGUAAAAGCAUACCAAGGCGACGAUCCAUAGCUUGUCUGAGAGGAUGAUCAGCCACACUGGGACUGAGACACGGCCCAGAAUCUUCCGGGAGGAAGGAGUGGGGAAUAUUGGAAAAUGGGCGAAAGCAUGAUCCAGUACGGCCGCGUGAGUGAUGAAGGCAUUAGGGUUGUAAAGCUCUUCUAACCGGGAUGAUAAUGACAGUACCGGGAGAAUAAGCUACGGCUAACUACGUG